GAAUGUGGUGAUGUUGGAGAGACCAAUGGAUUGUGAAGAUGUUGCAUAUGAGCAUGGAGUAAAUGAAGUGGCUAUGAAAUAAAUUCCAUGAUCAUUAAUUCUUAGAGUGAAAUCCAUGUGGUAUGGUGAAAAUGAUAAGGUGAGUGUGGUAAAAAAAGGAAAAGAAAAAGGAUACACGGAUGACUUGGUUCGAAACUAGCACAGCUACCGUUCCCCGGCAACGGCGCC
rnacentral:lncRNA from 1 species